GACGAACGCUGGCGGCGUGCUUAACACAUGCCAGUCGAACGGAAAGGCCCUGCUUUUGUUGCUUUCUCGAUUGGCGAACGGGUGUGUAACACGUGUGUAACCUGCCCUUGACUUUGGGAUAACUUCUGGAAACUCGGGCUAAUACCCGAUAUGAUCUCCUGCUGCAUGGUGUGGGUUGGAAAGUUUCGGCGGUUGGGGAUCGACUCGCGGCUUAUCAGCUUGUUUGUGAGGUAGUGGCUUACCAAGGCUUUGACGGGUAGCCUGCCUGGGAGGGUUGACGGGGACAAGGGGACUGAGGGAGGGAGCAGAAUGGAAAGGGAGGCAACAGGGGGGAAUAUUGCAGAAUGGGCGGAAGGGUGAGACAGAAACGCAGCGAGCGGGAUGACGGCCUUCGAGUUGUAAACAGAUGUGGACUGUGAUGAAGAGUGAGUGACGGUAAUGAGUAAAGAAGCACCGGCUAACUACGUG
rnacentral:rRNA from 1 species